rnacentral:lncRNA from 1 species
AUGCAGCAGCUGUCCUCUUAUCAAAUCUCAAUUUGGAGAAAUGUAUACCUAAAUAAUGGAAAUAAACAGGACUCCCCCUUCCAGGCCUGCUACCUGGAUACACGAGAAAAACCCUUCGAGAGCUGGAUAAGCAAGAUGGGACCAUUGCCCCAUAUUCCAGCAUUUUCUCAGUGCUCGUUGCAGCAGCAUUCUGCAGUCAUUCUGAACACGUCCUGUUUCCUUCUUGGUUCCUCUUCCACUACUCAUACCCAUGACAACACCCUCCUAGGCUCCUGCAGCAGGUCAUUCCCUUCUCUGCUGUGUGGCCUGGCACUGCUGGAUUACCUCCCUUCACCUGUCCAGGCGUCUUUCUUGAUCAGUCCAUGCUCAUUUCAUGCCGUUUUCAGUGAGGCACCACCUAGGAGAUGAAGUGGGAAGUUAGGUAUAGGGUAGCAGCAAGGCAUCCUCCAGAACACCCCACACCUGCAGCAAAAAUCUGACAUCCAUGCUUCUCCCACUCAUUGCAGUUCCAGUUUUGCUUCUCACAGUGUCUAACCCUCCUUCCCUCCUGGGCUGGAACUUCACUAAUUUUUGCUGAAUUCAUUUUCUUACCAUUUAUUGAGCUGCAUAAACUCAAAGGGUCCAGACAAGCACCAGACCUGUAUAAAGAAAGCAGCAAGGCUGGGAGCAGAACUGCCCUUUUUGAUACCAGCAAUUCAUUAGAUCUGGCUCAGCUGCCAUGUGAUAUCACUCUGUCAGUCUAGUUUUGUCUGCAGAACAGGGAGAUUUGGCUACACUGCUGGAAAGCCUUCAGACACCUCUGUUACCUUUGCCAUCCUUUGCUGCCCUUUUGUCCUUUCUGGUCCAAAAUGCAGGAAACAAUGAUCAUGAGAGUAGUUUGAUAGUGCCUUUCUUGCUACCUCCUUUCCAUUCAUUAUCUUCCUCUCCUGUUUCUGCCUUUUACUCCUUCCAAAAUCUUUCUGCUGCAGCUACUGACAUCUAGAAAUGUACUCCCAAUCCAGGACCUUUUUGCCUGCAUGCACACUCACAAGCCAGAUAGAUAAAUGCAGGCCUUCUUUCUCAGAACAAGCAUUUAAAAAAAAAAAAAAAAGUAUUACACAAUCCACAAGACAUGCGCAUUACUCACCAAAACAAUCAUGGGUAUCCAAUUUCUGCAGCCCUGCCUCUCGGUGAUUGUUUCUUUCCAAUAUCAUACCAAUGUAUCAAAGCCAGUACCCAAUAACAAUUACCUGUGUAUAAAGCCAAAGCUGAUGGAGUGGGUUUUUUGUAUAGCUAUAUACAAAUAAGCAAUAAUGAUCAGAGGCAGUCCUACUGUGAAGGACAGAGGUAUCUUGGUGUGUUUAUCUUGUGAUGUGCUAUGAUCAUUUAUACUGUUGAAUUAAGAAAAACAACAAGCUAUGAGCUUUCCAAAUGGAAUCCUGUUGCUAACUGUCAUUCAUUGCUCAGUUCUUAUUCCACAUGCAUUAGGAAGUGCACAUUAUCUUAUAAAUCAAGACAUAUGAAACAAAUAAAUGCCUUUAUAUUGUAAGAAAAAAACCCUUUCUAGAAAUACUGUAGAAACAUUCACAUCCCCUAUUUCUGUCUUUUAUAAAAGGCUGGCUGUGUCUUAUUAUCAAGUAAAAAGUAAACAAACGUAAUUUCAUCAGUUCUGUCUUUCGUUCGAUUUGCAUCAGCAAGAAUAAAAGACAAAGGCAGAAUGGAAAACAGUAGCUUUGUACUAAAAGUUUGAAUGCACAAAAUACUUCUUUCUCCAGCUGUCAAACAUUAAAAAACGCUAUGCAUACCAGUAAUAAUAAAAGUGUCAAACAAUCAACCACAAUGGGAAUCACAAUGCUUCAUUAAAAGCUCUAAAGCAGAGUAGAAAAGCUUCCAGCCAUUUGUUAAACAGAACUAAAUGCUAAGAUACUUUCAAAAGCAUCAGAAUAUGCUUUCAUCUAGUCUCGUUAGCCAGAUAAAUAUCUUGUUGCUUCGUUCAGUCUGGUCUUGGAGCUUGCACCAAUUCAGCAGCAACAGCUGUACAUGGCGCUUGCUCUCCUGAGACUGGGGCAUCUCUCCGUAAAACAGACAAAGUUAAUGUCCCUUCCAGUGAUCAGGCCUUCACUCCACGUGGUGCAGGGAUAUAAUCAGUAAUUUUGUAUUUACAUACGUAAUUAGGUAGUAUUUGGAGAACCUAACCUAUUUGUUCAGCUGACAGGCGAUGUUGUGAUAAGGAAUUUCAGCAGACAGGAUAUUUAUAGACCCUUUAUCUCUAUGUACAAUCAGAACUAAAAUGUCAAACAAUACCCUGAAUGAAGGGUUGUUUCAGUUCAACUUUUCUCCAUUGUUACUUUUCCCUUUUUUUUCCUCCCUGUCUGGUUACUGCUUAAAACUUGGCAGGGAGAGGAAAAAAAGGGAAUGUGACUCACACUGACAACUUCAUUUGCUGUAAGAGACCUCAGUAAUUGCUCUAACCCACUUACAGGAAAGCUACCCCUCCUCUUUUUCUCUUCCUCCACCCUUAGAUAGACACAGGCCAUAUUUGUAACACGAGCAGCCUCGCUGAUCUCAGAGGUCACGCUAUCACUUAUAAAGUAGCCAGGCCUCUUUUCUUUUCACUUUUCUUGAUCUGGAUUCAAGUUAACCCAUCACAAGAACUAAAAGCCGCUUCAGUUUAAGGGGCAGCUUCCUGCCACGGAUUUCUCAUGAACCUAAUAACCAGGGUUUCCGAAGGAUUCGCAGCUCAAACACAGCAGGGUUCAAGUGGCUGCUCCCAUGACGUGCACCAGUCUGGCAGCCAGUGCCACAGCUUCAGCAUAAAGCUCCUGGCGAGCCAAACAAUUGUUGUCUUUUCCUUUUUGUAUGGGCUGGGGGGCAGGGGGCAGCGAAUAGGAACAGAAGAAUCAGCACAGAUGCCUAUGCAGCACUCUACCAAAAUAUAUUUUCAUUUUUAAUUACAUAAUCAACAUAAUGAGAGUGGCAUUCGUAGUGAGGGGGCGGAACAGAUGGCAAAGACUUAGUUUUCAGCAAGACAUUAAUUAACAACAACUCUGGUUUCUGCUAGAAAAGGGGUGUUGUUCUGCUCUAGCAGGGUUAAGAUGGGUGCUUACUACAUAGAACUAAACUUAGUUUCCAAACACAGAACAAUGAUUUCCCCCCUCCCCCCCCCCAUAUCCCCGUUGAAAUGUUCAGGAUGCUCUAAAACACAGCAACAUCCUACCUGCAAGGUAUUAUUAGAACCCAGCACAAGUCUGCGUCCUAACAGCAGUUUGGGAUUCUCCUUGCAAAUGCUUUUGAGUGCUCUGUGGACAUAUACAUAAAAAAAAAAAAAAAAAAAAAAAAAAAAAAAAAAAAAAAGAGAGAGGGAGGAGGAAUUAAUAUGAUUGAGAGAGCUUUGUGCAACUUAAAAUUCAGGUGAGGUUUGUAACAUACAGCAGCUUCAUAGUGAUAUUAUUAAAGCUUCCUUAGAUGCUCUAUGGGAAGUUCUCCUUUUUCCCGUUCCACACGUUCAACUUAACAUCUUCAGCAUACUGAUGCAGCUGAGUUGGAAAGAGCUAUCCCAAGGGGGACUGAAGCAGAAAGUAGCUUAGAAAGACAUUUAUUAAAACCACAGGCAGAGAAUACAUCACCCAGACACAAUGAAUAGGGAAAUAACACAUGCAGCCGAAAAGUCUAGCCUCUAUUUUUCUGUCUGAUGAGACAACUGGAGAGCCAAGCACACUGAGCAGCCCGCAGAUCCCCAGCUCUCCCCUCCCUGUGCUGCCAGGUGACACGAGAUCACAGAAUCACAGAAUCACAGAAUUUCUAGGUUGGAAGAGACCUCAAGAUUACUUUUUCCUGCUUUGCAUUCCCCAUCGCAGGCUCUCUGGAGUCACACGCCCAGGUCCUGCAGAGGCCUGUGGGCCACAUUCCUCUGGGGAUUACAGCCAUCCCCAGCAGGAGAGAGGGAAGAGAGAUGCAGGCCAAAAGGGAUGGGCAAGCAGCAAGGAGGGAGGAGCUGGGGGGUAAGGAACCAUGCUGUGGAGAUCAAGAUGAGUACAGGCCAGGAGCUGGAAGCUGUGCUACAGGACAGGGAGAGAGGAAGCAGUCAUACACUGUGAUAACGUUAUACAGAAUAAGGCAGCAGGACAUCUAGAUUCAUCCGCUGUAGAACUUGGAAAUGAACCCAUUAUUCCCACAUCUCAACACUCAUCCCUGUGCUGCCAGCAAAUAUCUUAACAGCUGACAAGAAACAUCUCUGCCCAUUCUAGUGACACGUACAUUUAGAAAGGAUGCUUUUCCAUUACUCCUACUUACUCUGUGCAGGCAGUAGAGUUGUAGGUCUGUGCUGUAAGCUCAAAAUCACACCCCUCCCCAUUACCCAGGGGGAGUGAAUGAUAUGAUUGCAGAUGAUUUUUUUUUCUCUUUUAAUGUGCAUGCUAAAAACAUAGUGGGGCUGAGUUAAAAAUUACAUUAAAAGAAUAUUGCAGUUAUAAUGUCAAACACGAAAAUAUAUGUCUGAACUAAGAAUACCUGUUCCACCUUCCAGCACCUACUUUUAUUCAAAAUAUCAGCUCAGGCUCCCACACCAUACUGCUAGCAGCCACAAGAAAGCGCAUCCUUACGUUGCUAUACUGAGCAGAACUAACCUGCAGAAUUGUACGUGACUUGGCCUCCACCAGUUCACGUUGUGUUAACCCAAAAAUGGGCCACAGACAGGAACUCGGCUUCUUGCAUACAUCUGAUGGCAGGCAGAGAUUCUUCGCAGGAUGAUUUUUUAGAAGUGCCAUAUAUCAGCAGAACUGUGCUUAGGAAGCGCAAAGUAGUGGAAAGGAAAGAAUACAGAAAAGUAUUUUCUGCUUAGCAUGUCCUCAUUCUGCAGGGCUUAAGAGGGAGAUGAGAGAAUCAACAGAACAGCAUUUGUACUUACAGCUACUCUACCAGGGAGGGGAGAAAGGGUGACUAAAAACCCUUUGCAGAUACUACCUUUAAAAAUAAAAUAAAAUCAGUGCAACAAGAAGUUAACUCUUCAAGCAAAAACUACCAGCAGAUGCACAGACAAGCAGUGACUUCAGUGGAGCUGCAAGGCUGAAUUUGGCUUGAAUUCUGUGAAGUACUUUCAAAGCAGGAGCAUACUGCAUACAAAUGAGCGUUAAAUAAUUCGCAUCAUUAAGAGAGCUCAGAGCAGCUUAUCUGGACUUUGAAAAAAGCUAAAGCAAAUGUACAUUGUUUGAAUACCAUUAGGGACAGUCAUUAACUAGCAUUAAGACAUCUACUGUAUCGACACUUAGCGCUGUAAUGAGACCCAUCCUCCAUUCCAGGUUAUUUUCCUUAUUGAUUUGUAGAUUUCUUAUACUCAAGCUUUUGAGUACCACAGAGGUCAGCAACUCACGUAGGAAUAUCCAUUAAAGAACUAUACAAUU